AUCCUGGCUCAGGAUGAACGCUAGCGGCAGGCUUAACACAUGCAAGUCGAGGGGCAGCAUGAAGGUUAGCAAUAACCUUUGAUGGCGACCGGCGCAAGGGUGCGUAACGCGUGAGCAACUUGCCCGUUUCUGGGGAAUAACCGGUGGAAACGCCGACUAAUACCCCAUGGCAUCAGAAUGAGGCAUCUCAAUCUGAUUAAAGAUUUAUCGGUUAUGGAUGGGGAUGCGUAAGAUUAGGUAGUAGGCGGGGUAACGGCCCACCUAGCCGACGAUCUUUAGGGGUUCUGAGAGGAAGGUCCCCCACACUGGUACUGAGACACGGUCCAGACUCCUACGGGAGGCAGCAGUGAGGAAUAUUGGUCAAUGGUCUGACGACUGAACCAGCCAUGCCGCGUGAAGGAAACGGCCCUAUGGGUCUUAAACUUCUUUUGUAAGGGAGCAAUAAGCGCCACGUGUGGCGUGAUGAGAGUACCUUACGAAUAAGCAUCGGCUAACUCCGUG
rnacentral:rRNA from 1 species